rnacentral:rRNA from 1 species
UACAGAGGUCUCAAGCGUUGUUCGGAUUCAUUGGGCGUAAAGGGCGCGUAGGCGGCGUGUUAAGUCAGCUGUGAAAUCUCCAAGCUUAACUUGGAACGGUCAGCUGAUACUGAUGUGCUAGAGUGCAGAAGGGGCAAUCGGAAUUCUUGGUGUAGCGGUGAAAUGCGUAGAUAUCAGGAGGAACACCGAUGGCGAAGGCAGGUCUCUGGGCCGAUACUGACGCUGAGGAGCGAAAGCGUGGGGAGCGAACAGG